UACGGAGGGUGCAGGCGUUGUCCGGAAUCACUGGGCGUAAAGGGCGCGUAGGCGGCUCAUGAAGGCUGUGGUGAAAGUCCGGGGCUCAACCUCGGAUCGGCCGUGGCGACUCGUGGGCUGGAGCACUGUAGAGGCGGGUGGAAUUCCGGGUGUAGCGGUGGAAUGCGUAGAGAUCCGGAAGAACACCAGUGGCGAAGGCGGCCCGCUGGGCAGUGGCUGACGCUGAGGCGCGACAGCGUGGGGAGCAAACAGG
rnacentral:rRNA from 1 species